rnacentral:rRNA from 1 species
UCGCUCCUACGGGGGGCAGCAGUGAGGAAUAUUGGUCAAUGGUCGGGAGACUGAACCAACCAAGCCGCGUGAGGGAGGAAGGUACAGAGUAUCGUAAACCUCUUUUGUCAGGGAACAAAGACUGGGACGCGUCCCCGGAUGAGUGUACCUGAAGAAAAAGCAUCGGCUAACUCCGUGCCAGCAGCCGCGGUAAUACGGAGGAUGCGAGCGUUAUCCGGAUUUAUUGGGUUUAAAGGGUGCGCAGGCGGUCUGUUAAGUCAGCGGUCAAAGCCCGGGGCUCAACCCCGGCCCGCCGUUGAAACUGG